AGUGAACGCUGGCGGUAGGCCUAACACAUGCAAGUCGAACGGCAGCACAGGAGAGCUUGCUCUCUGGGUGGCGAGUGGCGGACGGGUGAGGAAUACAUCGGAAUCUACUCUGUCGUGGGGGAUAACGUAGGGAAACUUACGCUAAUACCGCAUACGACCUACGGGUGAAAGCAGGGGACCUUCGGGCCUUGCGCGAUUGAAUGAGCCGAUGUCGGGUUAGCUAGUUGGCGGGGUAAAGGCCCACCAAGGCGACGAUCCGUAGCUGGUCUGGGAGGAUGAUCAGCCACACUGGAACUGAGACACGGUCUAGACUCCUACGGGAGGCAGCAGUGGGGAAUAUUGGACAAUGGGCGCAAGCCUGAUCCAGCCAUACCGCGUGGGUGAAGAAGGCCUUCGGGUUGUAAAGCCCUUUUGUUGGGAAAGAAAUCCAGCUGGCUAAUACCCGGUUGGGAUGACGGUACCCAAAGAAUAAGCACCGGCUAACUUCGUGCCAGCCGCCGCAGUAA
rnacentral:rRNA from 1 species